GGCGAGGGGAGUGAAAAAGAACCUGAAACCGUGUACGUACAAGCAGUGGGAGCACCCUUCGGGGUGUGACUGCGUACCUUUUGUAUAAUGGGUCAGCGACUUAUAUUCUGUAGCAAGGUUAACCGAAUAGGGGAGCCGGAGGGAAACCGAGUCUUAAUUGGGCGUUAAGUUGCAGGGUAUAGACCCGAAACCCGGUGAUCUAGCCAUGGGCAGGUUGAAGGUUGGGUAACACUAACUGGAGGACCGAACCGACUAAUGUUGAAAAAUUAGCGGAUGACCUGUGGCUGGGGGUGAAAGGCCAAUCAAACCGGGAGAUAGCUGGUUCUCCCCGAAAGCUAUUUAGGUAGCGCCUCGUGAAUUCAUCUCCGGGGGUAGAGCACUGUUUCGGCUAGGGGGCCAUCCCGGCUUACCAACCCGAUGCAAACUGCGAAUACCGGAGAAUGUUAUCACGGGAGACACACGGCGGGUGCUAACGUCCGUCGUGAAGAGGGAAACAACCCAGACCGCCAGCUAAGGUCCCAAAGUCAUGGUUAAGUGGGAAACGAUGUGGGAAGGCCCAGACAGCCAGGAUGUUGGCUUAGAAGCAGCCAUCAUUUAAAGAAAGCGUAAUAGCUCACUGGUCGAGUCGGCCUGCGCGGAAGAUGUAACGGGGCUAAACCAUGCACCGAAGCUGCGGCAGCGACACUGUGUGUUGUUGGGUAGGGGAGCGUUCUGUAAGCCUGUGAAGGUGUGUCGUGAGGCAUGCUGGAGGUAUCAGAAGUGCGAAUGCUGACAUAAGUAACGAUAAAGCGGGUGAAAAGCCCGCUCGCCGGAAGACCAAGGGUUCCUGUCCAACGUUAAUCGGGGCAGGGUGAGUCGACCCCUAAGGCGAGGCCGAAAGGCGUAGUCGAUGGGAAACGGGUUAAUAUUCCCGUACUUGGUGUUACUGCGAAGGGGGGACGGAGAAGGCUAUGUUGGCCGGGCGACGGUUGUCCCGGUUUAAGCGUGUAGGUGUGUGUUCCAGGUAAAUCCGGUUCACUUUAACACUGAGGCGUGACGACGAGGCACUACGGUGCUGAAGCAACAAAUGCCCUGCUUCCAGGAAAAGCCUCUAAGCAUCAGGUAACAUCAAAUCGUACCCCAAACCGACACAGGUGGUCAGGUAGAGAAUACCAAGGCGCUUGAGAGAACUCGGGUGAAGGAACUAGGCAAAAUGGUGCCGUAACUUCGGGAGAAGGCACGCUGACACGUAGGUGAAGUGAUUUACUCAUGGAGCUGAAGUCAGUCGAAGAUACCAGCUGGCUGCAACUGUUUAUUAAAAACACAGCACUGUGCAAACACGAAAGUGGACGUAUACGGUGUGACGCCUGCCCGGUGCCGGAAGGUUAAUUGAUGGGGUCAGCGCAAGCGAAGCUCCUGAUCGAAGCCCCGGUAAACGGCGGCCGUAACUAUAACGGUCCUAAGGUAGCGAAAUUCCUUGUCGGGUAAGUUCCGACCUGCACGAAUGGCGUAAUGAUGGCCAGGCUGUCUCCACCCGAGACUCAGUGAAAUUGAACUCGCUGUGAAGAUGCAGUGUACCCGCGGCAAGACGGAAAGACCCCGUGAACCUUUACUAUAGCUUGACACUGAACAUUGAGCCUUGAUGUGUAGGAUAGGUGGGAGGCUUUGAAGCGUGGACGCCAGUCUGCGUGGAGCCGACCUUGAAAUACCACCCUUUAAUGUUUGAUGUUCUAACGUGGACCCGU
rnacentral:rRNA from 1 species